rnacentral:misc_RNA from 1 species
GAUGAAGAACGCAGCAAAAUGCGAUAAGUAAUGUGAAUUGCAGAAUUCAGUGAAUCAUCGAAUCUUUGAACGCACAUUUCGCCCGCCAGUAUUCUGGCGGGCAUGCCUGUUCGAGCGUCAUUUCAACCCUCAAGCACAGCUUGGUGUUGGGACUCGCGUUAAUUCGCGUUCCUCAAAUUGAUUGGCGGUCACGUCGAGCUUCCAUAGCGUAGUAGUAAAACCCUCGUUACUGGUAAUCGUCGCGGCCACGCCGUUAAACCCCAACUUCUGAAUGUUGACCUCGGAUCAGGUAGGAAUACCCGCUGAACUUAAGCAUAUCAAUAAGCGGAGGA